CAAUGCAGAAAGCAUGGUAACGUGCACAGAAAUUGAAUUGGGUCUCUUGGCCUGCCCUCUCUAAUGCCAUUUAGCUUUGAAUUGGGGGCAUAGUUCCACAGCAAAAGA